CAAUAGCGUAUAUUAAAGUUGUUGCAGUUAAAAAGCUCGUAGUUGGAUUUCUGGUAGGAGCGACCGUGCCGAACUUGAUUGUUCGAGUAUUGUGUUGUCUUCAGCCAUCCUCGUGGAGAACUUUUCUAACAUUAACUUGUUGGGAUUGGGACCCGCGUCGUUUACUGUGAAAAAAUUAGAGUGUUUAAAGCAGGCAUUAGCUUGAAUACAUUAGCAUGGAAUAAUAAGAUAGGACUUUGGUACUAUUUUGUUGGUUUGCAUACCAAAUUAAUGAUCAACAGGAACAGUUUGAGGAUAUUCGUAUGAACAUGUCAGAGGUGAAAUUCUUGGAUUUUGAUCAGACGAACUACUGCGAAAGCAUUUAUCAAGGGUGUUUUCAUUAA
rnacentral:rRNA from 1 species